ACAAGCGGUGUCUUCUUUUUGCAAAGUGAGUGAGGGAAUUGUGGAAAACAGAGGCUAGUCCGUAAUUUUGGAAAGAAGCAUUAAGUUUCUGUUUCAUCAAAUAAGAAGAUUGAUUAUCUGGAAGGCGAGCUUGAUUAGUCAACAUAAAUUGGAACGUGGUGCACUGGAAGAAUUCUGGAGAAGGAUAUUCAUGCAAGGGUAAAAGUGUGAUGAACCGAAGUGCUAGACUUGGUUGGAUUUGCAAGUAGAAGUAUUAUGUAAUCGAAAGAAAUAUUUGUGAACUUCUAGAAGAGUGAUGUAAGACUCUGAUGUAAGGUUAAUUAUGCCUUUAAGUUAUAUUAAGUUUGAGAUUAUGAAGACAUAUUUCGGUUUGUUCAGUAGAAUGGCA